rnacentral:rRNA from 1 species
AACAUGGUGGAGCUAUUUUGCAGAAAUUCUGCAACUGAGCACCCGUCCUUCCAUUGCAUUUCAUGUUGUGGUUGGAUAGGAGAUCAAUUCGGCACAGAUUUGUGCCAAGGAAAAGAAAUAUUGUCAGCAUUAAUUUCAUUCUCUUAAGGAGUUUGGCUUCAGGGGGGAUGUUGUUUUUGUUGCAUUAUAUUUUGUAUGACUCUUGACAAUGGAUAUCUUGGCUCUUGCAUCGAUGAAGAGCGUAGCGAAAUGCGAUACAUGGUGCGAAUUGCAGAAUCCCGUGAACCAUCGAGUUUUUGAAUGCAAGUUGCGCCAGAGGCCCAGCAGGCCAAAGGCACGUCUGCCUGGGAAUCAAGCAGUUCAUCGCUCUGUUUAAAAUCAUCGAAUAAAAAAAAUGGUUUUUUACAGAUGCGGAGAGUGUCCCGUCGCGUGCGGCGCAGCGGGAUCAAGGUUGGGUUUAUUUCUUCUUGACAGUGAUCGAUAUUUGGGUGGUGGACUAUGUUGCACGCGGCCUGUAUAAUUGUCUGAUUGCCUAGGGGAAGGCCUUGAAAAAUUUGACCCUUAUAUAGUGGGUGGCAUGCAAAAAUGUGACCCCAGGACAGGCGGGGUAACCCGCUGAGUUUAAGCAUAUAAAUAA